rnacentral:rRNA from 1 species
UACGGAGGGAGCUAGCGUUGUUCGGAUAUACUGGGCUUAAAGCGUGUGUAGGCGGAAUCGUAAGUACCUUGUGAAACCCCACGGCUCAACCGUGGAACUGCUUGGUAUACUGCGUUUCUUGGGCCAAUUAGGGGCAGCCGGAACAAAUGGUGGAGCGGUGAAAUGCGUUGAGAUCCAGUGGAACUCCGGUGGCGAAGGCGGCACGCUGGACCCGAUCUGACGCUGAGGCGCGAAAGCCAGGGGAGCGAACGGG